CCCUUAGAUGUUCUGGGCUGCACACGUGCUACACUGGCAGGUUCAGCGAGCUUCAUGCCCUGAUCUGUAAGGAAUGGGAAAUCUUUUCAAAACCUGCCGUGCUUGGGAUAGAUGUUUGCAAUUAUUCAUCUUCAACGAGGAUUGCCUUGUAAGCGCACGUCAUCAGCGUGCAUUGAAUACGACCCUGUAUUCUGUACACACCGCCCGUCGCUCCUACCGAUUGAAGUUUUCGGUGAGUUGACAGGAGGAUUUUUUUGAAACUGGUUCGCCAGUGGAUUUUAGAUCCAAAUGCCAACGAAUCGAUGGCUUUAGAGGAAGGAGAAGUCGUAACA
rnacentral:rRNA from 1 species